UAUAUCGGAACGUACCCUAGAGUGGGGGAUAACGUAGCGAAAGUUACGCUAAUACCGCAUACGCACUGAGGUGGAAAGCAGGGGAUCGCAAGACCUUGCGCUCAUGGAGUGGCCGAUGUCAGAUUAGCUAGUUGGUGGGGUAAAGGCCUACCAAGGCGACGAUCUGUAGCUGGUCUGAGAGGACGACCAGCCACACUGGAACUGAGACACGGUCCAG
rnacentral:rRNA from 1 species